GUUUACAUAGUUACAAGAGCACCAAUACAAUUAUGUUAGUCUGUGAGUUAACAGCAAUAGGUACAAUAAAAUUUACAGUGAGUUACUGAUCUAUGGCCACAAGUUCUGUCCACUAAACAAUUAGACCAAUGGUUCCUAGCCCAGACCUAAAGGAACACUAACAUUCCAGUAUUUAGGCAUAUGCCAAGUAGGGAUUUUAACAAAAUGUGAG